UACGGGGGGAGCAAGCGUUGUUCGGAUUUACUGGGCGUAAAGGGCGCGUAGGCGGUCAGCACAAGUCAGUUGUGAAAUCUCCGGGCUUAACUCGGAAAGGUCAACUGAUACUGUGCGACUAGAGUGCGGAAGGGGCAACUGGAAUUCUCGGUGUAGCGGUGAAAUGCGUAGAUAUCGAGAGGAACACCUGCGGCGAAGGCGGGUUGCUGGGCCGAAACUGACGCUGAUGCGCGAAAGCCAGGGGAGCGAACGGG
rnacentral:rRNA from 1 species